rnacentral:rRNA from 1 species
AAUCAACGCUGGCGGCGUGCCUCAGACAUGCAAGUCGAACGAUUAAAGCUCUCUUCGGAGAGUGCAUAGAGUGGCGCACGGGUGAGUAACACGUAAGUAAUCUACCUUCGAGUGGGGAAUAACAACCGGAAACGGUUGCUAAUACCGCAUAAUGCAGCGGCAUCGCAAGAUGACAGUUGUUAAAGGAGCAAUUCGCUUGAAGAGGAGCUUGCGGCAGAUUAGCUAGUUGGUAAGGUAAUGGCUUACCAAGGCUACGAUCUGUAACCGGUCUUAGAGGACGGUCGGUCACACUGACACUGAACAACGGGUCAGACUCCUACGGGAGGCAGCAGUCGGGAAUUUUGGGCAAUGGGCGAAAGCCUGACCCAGCAACGCCGCGUGAAGGAUGAAGUAUUUCGGUAUGUAAACUUCGAAAGAAUGGGAAGAAUAAAUGACGGUACCAUUUAUAAGGUCCGGCUAACUACGUG